AGUGAACGCUGGCGGUAGGCCUAACACAUGCAAGUCGAACGGCAGCACAGUAAGAGCUUGCUCUUACGGGAGGCGAGUGGCGGACGGGUGAGGAAUACAUCGGAAUCUACUUUUUCGUGGGGGAUAACGUAGGGAAACUUACGCUAAUACCGCAUACGACCUACGGGUGAAAGCAGGGGAUCUUCGGACCUUGCGCGAUUGAAUGAGCCGAUGUCGGAUUAGCUAGUUGGCGGGGUAAAGGCCCACCAAGGCGACGAUCCGUAGCUGGUCUGAGAGGAUGAUCAGCCACACUGGAAGUGAGACACGGUCCAGACUCCUACGGGAGGCAGCAGUGGGGAAUAUUGGACAAUGGGCGCAAGCCUGAUCCAGCCAUACCGCGUGGGUGAAGAAGGCCUUCGGGUUGUAAAGCCCUGUUGUUGGGAAAGAAAAGCAGCAGGUUAAUACCCCGCUGUUCUGACGGUACCCAAAGAAUAAGCACCGGCUAACUUCGUG
rnacentral:rRNA from 1 species